rnacentral:tRNA from 1 species
GGAGAGGUCGCAUAGCUUGGCUUAGUGCGCGCGCCUGGAAAGCGCGUAGGGCCUUAUUGGUCCUCGAGGGUUCAAAUCCCUCCCUCUCCG